CACCCGCAGGUGCCGCGGCCCUGAAAACCUCACCUGCUGGGGCCAGAAGGUCCUCACCUGUAAGGGGGAGUCAAAAGAGGCCCUCCCUGUGGAUUGUGGCGCGGAAGAAAUACCUGGGUUGGUGCGACUGGCAGCCCCUCGGCAUGGGCAAGGCCGGACUGUGACUUACCAGCUUCCCUCUCCUCUGCUGGACAUGGCACCACCACAGGAGCGAUUUUUCUAGAGAGCAGUUCUUGGCAUGCCUGGAGGAGGACCUGGGAAUGGGGGUGGGUGGAGUUUAAAGAAAUACUUUGGGAUCUGUCAAUACUUUUGGUUCCUGUCUCCAGAAGCCUUGGUUCCACCGGGGCCCUCUUCCAUGAUUUUAAGGUCUCCAGGAGCCCAGGGAUGGCUCUGUCUUUCCCAGGAGAGGGCAGAAACCGCCCAAGCCUCUAGAAAAGAACCCCGGCCCUGGGCGAGCAGCAGCACCAUCCUUCAUCACUGCCAACCCCAGUCCAUGUGCACCUGUCCGGUCCCAGAUGCUGGAGGGACCACUAUGUGCUGGACUUGGUGUUGGGUGUGUUAUGCUCUUACUUGUUCUCAAGCAACCCACUGAGGUGAGGAUUGUUUGCCCACCCAGGUCUGAGUCCACAUCUCAUGCCCUGCCGCCUCCUGGGGGAUGGUCCAGCCGAAUGACUGGGGGUGAGGACUUUCUUCUACCACCACUUCUGUCCUUCAUCGAUAACCAGCCAUGACAGCACCCUGUGCGCAGGGCCCCAUCUUCCCAGAGCCCACACAGGACCUGACACGUGAGAAGACAAAUGGAAUCUGCUCUUCUAGACAAGUCAAUGGGUACUAUGACCCCCACUCCCACCUUCCCCGGAGUGUAGUUACCUGAUGUGUCUUUAGACAGACUUUUCUAAUAGCCAAAAAGGAGACAACCUCCAUCUCCUCUGAUGAGUAGAUCAACAAAACGUGGCAGAUCCGCACAACGGAGAUUUGGGAGCAAUAAGACGGAACAAAGCACCACUACGUACUACAACACGGACAAACCUCAAAAACAUCACACUGAAACAAAGAAGCCAGACACAAUUGUAGGACUGUAGGGUAUUGUAGGAUUCCAUUAGUAUGGCAGGUCCAGAAAGACCAAUCCGGAGAUAGAAUGUAGAUUCGUGGUUGCCUGGCACGGGAGUGGGGGUAGGGAGUGGCUAGUAAUGGGCACAAAGCUUCUUUUUGGGGUAUAAAUGUUCUAAAAGGAGAUUAUGGUGAUGGUUGUACAAAUCUGUGAAUAUACUACAAAAACAUGAAUUGUAUACUUUAAAUGGGUGAACUUUAUGGCAUAAAAAUUAUGUCCCAAUAAAGCUGAGGUUUUUUGUUU